GAUGAACGCUGGCGGCGUGCCUAAUACAUGCAAGUCGAGCGAACGGACGAGAAGCUUGCUUCUCUGAUGUUAGCGGCGGACGGGUGAGUAACACGUGGAUAACCUACCUAUAAGACUGGGAUAACUUCGGGAAACCGGAGCUAAUACCGGAUAAUAUUUUGAACCGCAUGGUUCAAAAGUGAAAGACGGUCUUGCUGUCACUUAUAGAUGGAUCCGCGCUGCAUUAGCUAGUUGGUAAGGUAACGGCUUACCAAGGCAACGAUGCAUAGCCGACCUGAGAGGGUGAUUGGCCACACUGGAACUGAGACACGGUCCAGACUCCUACGGGAGGCAGCAGUAGGGAAUCUUCCGCAAAGGGCGAAAGCCUGACGGAGCAACGCCGCGUGAGUGAUGAAGGUCUUCGGAUCGUAAAACUCUGUUAUUAGGGAAGAACAUAUGUGUAAGUAACUGUGCACAUCUUGACGGUACCUAAUCAGAAAGCCACGGCUAACUACGUG
rnacentral:rRNA from 1 species